CCAACCUAAAAUCUUCCCCCCAAAAUAUUACCUCACAUACCACCUUUCCUCAAAAUAAAACUCCCCACAUAAUACCCCACCCCACACCCUCUAUAUAAACAUUUUCUACACAACACAAAAAGAAAAAAAAAAUUCACACAAAAAAACUACACCAAAAAGGGGGCGGCUAAAGACAAAAAAAGAGGGGGAGUCGAUCAUCUUCUUCACAACAAAAAAUUCCAAAAAAAUUUCUUCAGCUCCAAAGAGAAAACGGUUGAAAUUGACACACAAAAAGGACGAAAACGAUACAAAGAAAAAAACACUACACAAAAGAGGAGAUGCAUGCUACAUUAUGAAGUUUGAUUGAGUUGUGAUUGUGUUCGAGUUCGAGCCAGGCAAUCCGGUCUGGGACUCGACGAGUUUCCAUCGAGGUUCGAUUUAAGAUCGUAGCUCUUUGUUUUGAUUUGAGAUUUGUUCGGUGUCUGUUAGUUCAAGUUCAGCUGUUUUUUAAUGUGAGGUUGUAAUGCUUGCUCGAUUUCUAUUUCGUGUAUCACUGAAUAUGUCAUCAAUCGAAAGUUCGAUUUGCAGUUUUCAUACUUGCUGAAGUUCUAUUAAUUGAAAAGCAAUUUUCGUUCUUAAAUUUUAUUUUUUCUGCUGGGAUUUGCUGAUUUGAAUCCAUUUUGGAGCUCGCUUGUGAGAUCUGUUCGGAAAUGGGUAUUGAAGUGUCGAGGUCGUCAAGUGAGCUUUGUUGACGUAGCCUUGUUCAACUGUGAUUGCUCGACGACACCAUUUAUACACUAACAAUGGUGGUGGCUCUAAAUCGGCAUGCUUCAAGUUGGGAAGAGAUGGCGCUUAUCACCUUCAUACCACAGGUACUGAUCCAGGCACGCUGAGUAAGCAGGUGACGCUUAAUCCUUGACAACGCUCUCUGUUUAGUACAUUUUCAAUACGUUAUUAUUGCAACUACUAUUGUUGUGCAAAAAACAAAAAAAAUCCAAUUGGUGACUUCUGGUGGCCUUAAAUGAAAAGAAGUUUCCACUUGGUAUUAAAGAAUUUUAGAAGUCAAUUCUCCUAGUGUUAGUUUGUUCAGGUUUAUUUACACAAUUCAUUAGUCUGUGCUUGCCUUUGAAAAUUAGUUCAUUUGUUGAUUUCUUUAAUGAGUCAUAGAUUGAUCAUUCGUUUGAAGUUUUUUUUGGUUUCGUAGUAUCGCUUGAGUGGUUCUGUGAAUUAGUUCUUGGGAUUAAAGACUCCAACUGCUUGAAACAAGAUAAUAGUUGGUUUGGUUUUAAAAGUUAAAUAAUCAUGAACAUCCAUGGUUUGUUUUAGUUGAAUAACCUAAAUUCGAGGCGUGCCAUUUAGCAAAUUACAUGGCCUUCGUAAAGUGCAAACGCAUAGUUGCUUUAGGCACGUAUUUAAUAAUAUUACCUUUCUUAAACUCGGGUGCGCAUUGAUGCGGCCCAAUUCCAAGUCUCGACGAAGUUGAAAUGUGUGGACGACCACGGGUUCCUUGAUAGCGACGGGGUUAGAAACGCGUUUUCAUGACGUCGUAAUUCUUAUAAAACAAAUAACGAUUGAAAAAUGGUUCAAAAUGGAGAUGAGCCUCACCGAACAAGAAUAAAUGUGGGGCCAUCAAUAAUUGCUUGUUAAAAAUAAUUAGAAUUUGGAAGGGUCGUUUAGUGAAUUUCAACGGCCUUUCCCAAAAUAAUAUUACGCUAGAACCUUUAAGUGCAAUUUAAUUAAAUUACUUUCUUAAACUCGGGUGCGCAUUGAUGCGAUCCAAAUUCAAAUCUCGACGAAGUCGAAACGUGUUGACGACCACGGGUGUCUUGAUGGCGACGUGGUCAGAGACGCGUUUUCAUGACGUCGCAAGUCUUUUAAAAUAAAUAAUGGUAAAAGCGGUAUACGAAUAAAAGGCACAUAAGCUAGCACGUAUUAAAAUCAGAUAAAAUCAAAUGCAACAGUUAAGCGACCGCGCUAGAACCACGGAACCCGGGAAAGCCUAACACCUUCUCCUGGGUUAACAGAAUUCCUUAUCCGGAUUUCUGGUUCGCGGACUGUUAACAGAGUCAUAAUCUUCCUCGGUUCGGGAUUCACACCGGUGACUUGGGACACCAUUAAUCUCUCAAGUGGCGACUCUGAAUAAUUAAUAACCAAAUCUUGUUCUGAUUGUUCUUUAAGUGGAAAAACUUCUUCACGCUCCUUGGGGGGUGUAUAGCGAAAAAGGAGGUGUGACAGGGUAAACAAGCUAAAAUAAUAUUCAUCAUAAAAAAUAGCAAUAAAAAUCAAAGAAAAGAAGAAAGAUGUUUUGGGUGAUCUCACAAUGGUUUUCGUUGCUAUGAAACUCUAAAAUUCAAUACAUGCCUCUCUUGGGCGAAGUCUAGUGUUUAAAAUAGGGUUUUGGGCUAAAAAUCUCGUGUUUUGCACUUUAGUCCCUGAAAUUUCCGCCUCCUGCCACGGUCGUGGUGGAACCGCGGCCAAACAUGUUCUCUGACAGUCUGUUUGUCUGCAACCCUCUUUCACCGCGGUUCUGUCGCGGUCGCAGUGGAAGCACGGCAGACCCAGUUUUCUGAUUCUUCAGGCCUGGUUUUGAGCUGCUUGCGUGGUUUACUUGACGGAAUUCUACGGUUGGCCUCUUUUUUCCCUCUUUUUAAUCCCAAAAGUACUCCAUAUCCUUCUUUGGUCAUACAACCUGCAAAGCAUGAAAUAUACUAAUAAGAGCAUUUUGGUAUCACUUUCAUCAUCAAAACUAUACAAGAAGGUGAUUAUUUAGGGCCCAAUUAUAAUUAAAUUCAACUAUUAUCAAUAUACCUAGCCAACCACCAGAAAUUUGAUAUUGAAGCGUAGCAAGUUUAUUGAUUGACCGUUGACGAGACACUUGGUAAUAAACAUGUAUUAGCACAAAUGCUUAUCCGCUCACUAGUUUAACUUUGAUGAAGAAUCUUGGUAAAAAGUUAAAAUAUCAUGGUAUAGCCAGUUUUCACGCCGGUUAAUGAAAAAGUAGCCAGCGUUUACCAAGUCAAUGAAAAAUAACUACUAUUUUGCUGCAACAGUAACCGGUCCAAUAUAAUAUACGGAAGUUUGGUUUAUUUGUGUACGAACUACAGCAUAUUAUGCUGGACCGGUAUUCUUUGCUAACUCCUGUAAAAUUUACUGGAGAGUGGAGCACCAGUGCUCCAAACUCUAGUAUAUUAUACUGGACAUUUAUACUUGCUAGAACUCCCGUAAAAUAUGCGAAAGUUUCAGCAUAAUUAUGCUUGAAUUCUCGUAAAAUUUGCGGGUGUUCCAGCAUAGUUAUCCUAGAACUCGUGUAAAUUUUGCGGGAGUUCAAGCAUACUUAUGUUGGAACUCCCGUAAAAUUUGAGGGCGUAUUUUCCGAAUUUUGAAUAGUAUUUUCACUCAGAUUUAUCUUUACAUAAAAAGUGUCUAAAUUUUGAUAACUUUUGAAACUUGGCUAUUUUUCAAUGACCAGUGGUAAAUCUGGCUAUUUUUAAAUUUCUCACUGGUAAAAAUUGCACGAGUCAUCCUAUUUGGGCGCCCCUUUUUAUCAUGUAGCCGCUUUCUCUUUUUGUUUGCAUCUGUAACCACUUUUUAAAAAACUUCAGCUUCCCUUUCUCCUCCCCUUCUCCUCCAAAAACUUAAGCUCUACAGCUGAAGUUUUCCAGUUACAACACAAAAACUUCAGCUCUACAGCUGAAGUUUUUAUUUUAUAACUGGAAAACUUAAACUCUAGAGCUUAAGUUUUUAUUUUAUAACUGGAAAACUUAAGCUGGAAACUGCUUAAGUUUUUAUUUUAUAACUGAAAAACUUAAGCUCUAGAGCUUUUUAUAACUGGAAAACUUAAACUCUAGAGCUUAAGUUUUUAUUUUAUAACUGGAAAACUUAAGCUCUAGAGCUUAAGUUCUUAUUUUAUAACUGAAAAACUUAAGCUCUAGAGCUUAAGUUUUUAUUUUAUAACUGGAGCUUAAGUUUUUAUUUUAUAACUGGAAAACUUAACCUCUAGAGCUUAAGUUUUUACUUUAUAACUGGAAAACUUAAGCUGUAGAGCUAAAGCUGAAGUUUUCCAAUACAAAAGAAAAACUUCAGCCUUGUGGGCUGAAAUUAUGUAAAAAAGCGGGUACGCAUGCAAUUUUUUUUAUAAAAAGGCACAAACUAAAAUAUGACUCAAAAAACGAGUAUAGAUACAAAUGCGUCAAAAAGGUAAAUAGUUAACCACAUCACAGUGUCUCAACAAAUCUAGCAAUUUUACCCUAGAAGCCAAAAAAUUAAAGUGAAAAUACAUCACCUAAUCAUCUUUAAGUGCAAAAUGCACGUGCGAAAAACACUUGCAUUCAUAAGUUUGGUGUGGUAUAAACACCUGUUUAGGUUAAUUUGUUCCAUAUUAAAUCACAUACUUCAAUCUUCUCUUUUCCAAUGAACUGACUUGUUCAUCUCAUCCAUUAAUUUUUUCCAUGUUAAAAUCAUAUAUUUCAAUUCUCUCUUUUCCAAUAAACUGAAUUGUUCAUCUCAUCCAAAUGCAUAUACAAACAAUUGUUUCAACACAGAUGAUAAACAAAAGUAAAACAAUGGAUAGCAAGAUCAUUUUUGUGACGCUGAUAUAUGGAAUAACUUCCACGCACAUCGACUAUUUUACCAGGUGCUAGCUAACUCUCACCAACACGCGUAUCAGAUAAAUCCUGGGACUAAUGCUAGGCAUUACAUGGAAAGAACCCGGAAUUAGCAAGAUCACAAGAGAUGGACUGGACAACAGCACCUUCAAUACUAUAGUUACCAAGUCAAAGUAUGCAUCCUGUAUAAGCAAGUCCAAGCAUAUCAAUGGAAGAACCCAAAAGUAAAUGCUGAUCGGGGUGGGCGAAUAGCACAAAUAGUCACUAAUGGCUAAUGUCUUUAUUUUAAAACCAG
rnacentral:lncRNA from 1 species